rnacentral:rRNA from 1 species
UACGUAGGCAGCGAGCGUUGUUCGGAAUUACUGGGCGUAAAGAGUGUGUAGGCGGUGCUCUAAGUUUGGUGUGAAAUCUCCCGGCUCAACUGGGAGGGUGCAUCGAAAACUGGAGUGCUCGAGGGUGGGAGAGGUAAGCGGAAUUCCUGGUGUAGCGGUGAAAUGCGCAGAUAUCAGGAGGAACACCGGUGGCGAAGGCGGAUCUCUGGGCCUUACCUGACGCUCAGGCACGAAAGCUAGGGGAGCGAACAGG